AUUGAACGCUGGCGGCAUGCCUUACACAUGCGAGUCGAACGGUAACAGGUCUUCGGGUGCUGACGAGUGGCGCACGGGUGGGUAAUACAUCGGAACGUUCCCGAUCGUGGGGGGUAACGAAGCGAAAGCUUUGCUAAUACCGCCUACGAUCUACGGAUGAAAGCGGGGGAUGUUCGGACCUCGCGCGGCCGGAGCGGCCGGUGGCUGAUUCGGUAGUUGGUGGGGUAGAAGCUUACCAAGCCGACGGUCUGUAGAUGGUCUGAGAGGAUGAUCGGCCACACUGGGAGUGAGACACGGCCCAGACUCCUACGGGAGGCAGCAGUGGGGAAUGUUGGACAAUGGGCGCAAGCCUGAUCCAGCCAUGCCGCGUGCAGGAUGAAGGCCUUCGGGUGGGAAAAUGCUUUUGUACGGAACGAAAAGGUGCCUUCUAAUAAAGGGCGCUCAUGACGGUACCGGAAGAAUAAGCACCGGCUAACUACGUG
rnacentral:rRNA from 1 species